rnacentral:rRNA from 1 species
UACAGAGGGGGCAAGCGUUAUUCGGAAUUACUGGGCGUAAAGCGCACGUAGGCGGCUUGGUAUGUCGGGCGUGAAAUCCCCGGGCUCAACCUGGGAACUGCAUCCGAAACUGCCUUGCUCGAGUAUGGGAGAGGGAAGUGGAAUUUCCGGUGUAGCGGUGAAAUGCGUAGAUAUCGGAAGGAACAUCAGUGGCGAAGGCGACUUCCUGGACCAAUACUGACGCUCAGGUGCGAAAGCGUGGGGAGCAAACAGG